rnacentral:tmRNA from 1 species
GGGGACGACAUGGUUUCGACGGGGAGGCUGGAGCUUUCAAGUUGCAUGCCGAGGCGCCGCUGGCCUCGUAAAAAGCGGCAAAACAAGAAAAGCAAAUAAUUUUGCAUUAGCAGCUUAAGCUGCUCGUCCUGCUGCGGUAAUUCUCGCGGCUUCAGACAGGGCGCUAAACAGCGGGAUAGCAAACUGAACCCCUCCGCAGGGUGAGGUAAGCGAAAUCAAGUGCGGAAAAGUGUGACGGAUCCUGCUGCCGGGAGCCCGAUCACUUACUAAAUCGGACAGCUAAGCAUGUAGACGCUCGAUUGACCCCCUUUUCGGACGCGGGUUCGAUUCCCGCCGUCUCCACCA